UACGUAGGGUGCAAGCGUUAAUCGGAAUUACUGGGCGUAAAGCGUGCGCAGGCGGUUAUGCAAGACAGAUGUGAAAUCCCCGGGCUCAACCUGGGAACUGCAUUUGUGACUGCAUGACUUGAGUACGGUAGAGGGGGAUGGAAUUCCGCGUGUAACAGUGAAAUGCGUAGAUAUGCGGAGGAACACCGAUGGCGAAGGCAAUCCCCUGGACCUGUACUGACGCUCAUGCACGAAAGCGUGGGGAGCAAACAGG
rnacentral:rRNA from 1 species